GACGAACGCUGGCGGCGUGCUUAACACAUGCAAGUCGAACGGAAAGGCCCUGCUUGCAGGGUACUCGAGUGGCGAACGGGUGAGUAACACGUGGGUGAUCUGCCCUGCACUUCGGGAUAAGCCUGGGAAACUGGGUCUAAUACCGGAUAGGAGCCAUUUUUAGUGUGAUGGUUGGAAAGUUUUUUCGGUGUAGGAUGAGCUCGCGGCCUAUCAGCUUGUUGGUGGGGUAAUGGCCUACCAAGGCGGCGACGGGUAGCCGGCCUGAGAGGGUGGACGGCCACAUUGGGACUGAGAUACGGCCCAGACUCCUACGGGAGGCAGCAGUGGGGAAUAUUGCACAAUGGGCGCAAGCCGGAUGCAGCGACGCCGCGUGGGGGAUGACGGCCUUCGGGUUGUAAACUCCGUUCGCUAGGGACGAAGCUUUUUGUGACGGUACCUAGAUAAGAAGCACCGGCUAACUACGUG
rnacentral:rRNA from 1 species